rnacentral:rRNA from 1 species
ACCCGCUGAACUUAAGCAUAUCAAUAAGCGGAGGAAAAGAAACCAACAGGGAUUGCCCUAGUAACGGCGAGUGAAGCGGCAACAGCUCAAAUUUGAAAUCUGGCGUCUUCGGCGUCCGAGUUGUAAUUUGCAGAGGGUGCUUUGGCAUCGGCAGCGGUCCAAGUUCCUUGGAACAGGACGUCACAGAGGGUGAGAAUCCCGUACGUGGUCGCUAGCCUUUACCGUGUAAAGCCCCUUCGACGAGUCGAGUUGUUUGGGAAUGCAGCUCUAAAUGGGAGGUAAAUUUCUUCUAAAGCUAAAUACUGGCCAGAGACCGAUAGCGCACAAGUAGAGUGAUCGAAAGAUGAAAAGCACUUUGGAAAGAGAGUUAAAAAGCACGUGAAAUUGUUGAAAGGGAAGCGCUUGCAGCCAGACUUGCCUGUAGUUGCUCAUCCGGGUUUCUACCCGGUGCACUCUUCUAUAGGCAGGCCAGCAUCAGUUUGGGCGGUUGGAUAAAGGUCUCUGUCAUGUACCUCUCUUCGGGGAGAACUUAUAGGGGAGACGACAUGCAACCAGCCUGGACUGAGGUCCGCGCAUCUGCUAGGAUGCUGGCGUAAUGGCUGU